rnacentral:rRNA from 1 species
CCCUUAGACACUCUAGGCGGCACGCGCGCUACAAUGGGUGGAAGACAGUGUUAUUGCUUCUGACAAGAGGGGUUAAUCACGAAUUCUAACCCGUGAGUGGGAUAGUUUGUUGCAAUUUUCGGACUUGAACUAGGAAUCCCUUGUAAACAUACUAAAGUAUAGUGUGUUGAAUACGUCCCUGCCGUUUGUACACACCGCCCGUCGUUUCUUCCGACUGAUACUCAUUGUGAGUUGCAAGGAUUCUUAAAUGGAGAAUUGCGACAAAUACUUUGUAUUGGAGGAAGAAAAAGUCGUAACA